GAUGAACGCUGGCGGCGUGCCUAACACAUGCAAGUCGAACGGAGUCCAGCCUUUAAGACCUUCGGGUCAAAGGGGGGAAGACUGAGUGGCGGACGGGUGAGUAACACGUGGGCAACCUGGCUCAUAGAGGGGGAUAACAGAGAGAAAUUUCUGCUAAUACCGCAUAAGCACACACUGCCGCAUGGCAGAGGGUGAAAAGAGAAUCGCUAUGAGAUGGACCCGCGUCUGAUUCGCCAGUUGGCAGGGUAAGAGCCUACCAAAGCGACGAUCAGUAGCCGAUCUGAGAUGCUGAGCCGCCACAUUGGGACUGAGACACGGCCCAAACUCCUACGGGAUGCAGCAGUGGGGGAUAUUGCACAAUGGGGUGAACCCUGAUGCAGCGACGCCGCGUGAGUGAAGAAGUAUUUCGGUAUGUAAAGCUCUAUCAGCAGGGAAGAUAAUGACAGUACCUGAAGAAGAAGCCCCGGCUAACUACGUG
rnacentral:rRNA from 1 species